AGUUUUGGACUUGGCUCAGGAUGAACGCUGGCGGCGUGCCUAAUACAUGCAAGUCGAACGCACAGCGAAAGGUGCUUGCACCUUUCAAGUGAGUGGCGAACGGGUGAGUAACACGUGGACAACCUGCCUCAAGGCUGGGGAUAACAUUUGGAAACAGAUGCUAAUACCGAAUAAAACUUAGUGUCGCAUGACACAAAGUUAAAAGGCGCUUCGGCGUCACCUAGAGAUGGAUCCGCGGUGCAUUAGUUAGUUGGUGGGGUAAAGGCCUACCAAGACAAUGAUGCAUAGCCGAGUUGAGAGACUGAUCGGCCACAUUGGGACUGAGACACGGCCCAAACUCCUACGGGAGGCUGCAGUAGGGAAUCUUCCACAAUGGGCGAAAGCCUGAUGGAGCAACGCCGCGUGUGUGAUGAAGGCUUUCGGGUCGUAAAGCACUGUUGUAUGGGAAGAACAGCUAGAAUAGGAAAUGAUUUUAGUUUGACGGUACCAUACCAGAAAGGGACGGCUAAAUACGUGCCAGCAGCCGCGGUAAUACGUAUGUCCCGAGCGUUAUCCGGAUUUAUUGGGCGUAAAGCGAGCGCAGACGGUUUAUUAAGUCUGAUGUGAAAGCCCGGAGCUCAACUCCGGAAUGGCAUUGGAAACUGGUUAACUUGAGUGCAGUAGAGGUAAGUGGAACUCCAUGUGUAGCGGUGGAAUGCGUAGAUAUAUGGAAGAACACCAGUGGCGAAGGCGGCUUACUGGACUGCAACUGACGUUGAGGCUCGAAAGUGUGGGUAGCAAACAGGAUUAGAUACCCUGGUAGUCCACACCGUAAACGAUGAACACUAGGUGUUAGGAGGUUUCCGCCUCUUAGUGCCGAAGCUAACGCAUUAAGUGUUCCGCCUGGGGAGUACGACCGCAAGGUUGAAACUCAAAGGAAUUGACGGGGACCCGCACAAGCGGUGGAGCAUGUGGUUUAAUUCGAAGCAACGCGAAGAACCUUACCAGGUCUUGACAUCCUUUGAAGCUUUUAGAGAUAGAAGUGUUCUCUUCGGAGACAAAGUGACAGGUGGUGCAUGGUCGUCGUCAGCUCGUGUCGUGAGAUGUUGGGUUAAGUCCCGCAACGAGCGCAACCCUUAUUGUUAGUUGCCAGCAUUCAGAUGGGCACUCUAGCGAGACUGCCGGUGACAAACCGGAGGAAGGCGGGGACGACGUCAGAUCAUCAUGCCCCUUAUGACCUGGGCUACACACGUGCUACAAUGGCGUAUACAACGAGUUGCCAACCCGCGAGGGUGAGCUAAUCUCUUAAAGUACGUCUCAGUUCGGAUUGUAGUCUGCAACUCGACUACAUGAAGUCGGAAUCGCUAGUAAUCGCGGAUCAGCACGCCGCGGUGAAUACGUUCCCGGGUCUUGUACACACCGCCCGUCACACCAUGGGAGUUUGUAAUGCCCAAAGCCGGUGGCCUAACCUUUUAGGAAGGAGCCGUCUAAGGCAGGACAGAUGACUGGGGUGAAGUCGUAACAAGGUAGCCGUAGGAGAACCUGCGGCUGGAUCACCUCCUUA
rnacentral:rRNA from 1 species